rnacentral:rRNA from 1 species
UACGUAGGGUGCGAGCGUUAAUCGGAAUUACUGGGCGUAAAGUGUGCGCAGGCGGCCGCGCAAGUCGAGUGUGAAAGCCCCGGGCUUAACUUGGGAAUUGCGCUCGAAACUACGUGGCUGGAGUGUGGCAGAGGAAGGUGGAUUCCACGUGUAGCGGAUGAAAUGCGUAGUAGGAUGUGGAGGAACACCAAUGGCGAAGGCAGCCUUCUGGGCCAACACUGACGCUCAUGCACGAAAGCGUGGGGAGCAAACAGGA